CCUACGGGAGGCAGCAGUGGGGAAUAUUGGACAAUGGGGGCAACCCUGAUCCAGCCAUGCCGCGUGAGUGAUGACGGCCUUAGGGUUGUAAAGCUCUUUUCUCCGGGACGAUAAUGACGGUACCGGAGGAAUAAGCCCCGGCUAACUUCGUGCCAGCAGCCGCGGUAAUACGAAGGGGGCUAGCGUUGCUCGGAAUCACUGGGCGUAAAGGGCGCGUAGGCGGCUGACUUAGUCGAGGGUGAAAGCCCGUGGCUCAACCACGGAAUGGCCUUCGAUACUGGUUGGCUUGAGACCGGAAGAGGACAGCGGAACUGCGAGUGUAGAGGUGAAAUUCGUAGAUAUUCGCAAGAACACCAGUGGCGAAGGCGGCUGUCUGGUCCGGUUCUGACGCUGAGGCGCGAAAGCGUGGGGAGCAAACAGGAUUAGAUACCCUGGUAGUCCACGCUGUAAACGAUGAAUGCUAGCCGUUGGUCUGCAUGCAGGUCAGUGGCGCCGCUAACGCAUUAAGCAUUCCGCCUGGGGAGUACGGUCGCAAGAUUAAAAACUAACAAAGUAAGUUAGUUAGACGUUGNGAGNGCGACGAGACACAGGAGGAG
rnacentral:rRNA from 1 species